GACGAACGCUGGCGGCAUGCCUAAUACAUGCAAGUCGAGCGAACAGAUGGAGUGCUUGCACUUCUGACGUUAGCGGCGAACGGGUGAGUAACACGUAAGGAAUCUACCUAUAAGCGGGGGAUAACAUUCGGAAACGGGUGCUAAUACCGCAUAAUAUCUUCUUCCGCAUGGAAGAAGAUUGAAAGACGGCUCUGCUGUCACUUAUAGAUGACCUUGCGGUGCAUUAGUUAGUUGGUGGGGUAACGGCCGACCAAGACGAUGAUGCAUAGCCGACCUGAGAGGGUGAUCGGCCACAUUGGGACUGAGACACGGCCCAAACUCCUACGGGAGGCAGCAGUAGGGAAUCUUCCGCAAUGGGCGAAAGCCUGACGGAGCAAUGCCGCGUGAGUGAAGAAGGCCUUCGGGUCGUAAAACUCUGUUAUAAGAGAAGAACAAAUUGUAGAGUAACUGCUACAGUCUUGACGGUAUCUUAUCAGAAAGCCACGGCUAACUACGUGCCAGCAGCCGCCGUAA
rnacentral:rRNA from 1 species